CUAGCGUGAAAGUUUGUAUUAUUAUGAUUCAUAUUCUGCAAAAUUGUACUAAUACUGUCAAUUUGUCCAUGUUAUGCUGCUAGAAAAAUCCUGUUUUGGGAGAGGGAUGGAGAGGAUGGAGGUAGCAAAGAUCCAAUUUCUUGUCUGGUUUAUAGGGCACAUUAACUUUUGAACUUGGAGAUCCGUGCUGCUGUGCUACAUGCUGAGUGCUUCAGAGAGGAUCCAAAAUCAUCACCCUUGAAGGUUUUAGAAACCAUGAGCAACCUUGUCUGAAAUCAGUUUUGACCUUCCUUUGAAUAGAAAUUGGAGUAGAG
rnacentral:lncRNA from 1 species